rnacentral:pre_miRNA from 1 species
AGUGGAAUUGCCAGGUCAUAUGGUAACACUAAUGUUUAACUUUUUGAGAAACUGCCAGACUGUUUUCCAAAAUGGCUGCACCAUUUUAUAUUCCUACCAGCAGU